rnacentral:lncRNA from 1 species
AUAGAGUAGGACAGCGUAAAUUAGAUAGCAGAUCCUCUGAUCUUGCUGCUAGUAAUGAUGUACUGCCUACAAAGUGUAGAGUAAUUGUAUAUAUUAGAGUGUUAACAGCAUCACUCUCUGUGUAUAUUACUUCUUGAUUUUGUUCAUUUCUUCCUGUCCAUUGUCUUGUAUUAUUGAGAAUCCUUUGUUUUGUAUCAUCAUCUACAUAGAAAUCCCACCAUCCUCUUAACCAUCCUGUAAAUCCAUUAACUAUUGCUUCAGCAACCUCUUGACCAUGG